rnacentral:rRNA from 1 species
AUUGAACGCUGGCGGCAGGCCUAACACAUGCAAGUCGAACGAGUGGCGGACGUGUGAGUAAUGUCUGGGAAACUGCCUGAUGGAGGGGGAUAACUACUGGAAACGGUAGCUAAUACCACAUACCCUCAGAUGUGCCCCGAUGGGCUUAGCUUGUGGGUGGGGUAACGGCUCACCAAGGCGCCGAUCCCUAGCUGGUCUGAGAGGAUGACCAGCCAAACGGGAACUGAGACACGGUCCAGACUCCUACGGGAGGCAGCAGGGGGGAAUAUUGCACAAUGGGCGCAAGCCUGAUGCAGCGAUGCCGCGUGGAUGAAGAAGGCCUUCGGGUGGUAAAGUACUUUCAGCGGGGAGGCGUUACCCGCAGAAGAAGCACCGGCUAACUACGUGCCAGCAGCCGCGGUAAUAC